rnacentral:rRNA from 1 species
UACGUAGGGUGCAAGCGUUAAUCGGAAUUACUGGGCGUAAAGCGUGCGCAGGCGGUUUUGUAAGACAGUUGUGAAAGCCCCCGGCUCAACUGGGGAGGGUCAUCGGUAACGGUCGAGCUAUGAGUGCAGGAGAGGGAAGUGGAACUCCGGGAGUAGCGGUGAAAUGCGUAGAGACCCGGAGGAACACCAGUGGCGAAGGCGGCUUCCUGGUCUGCGACUGACGCUGUGGCGCGAAAGCUAGGGGAGCAAACGGG